AAAAACAACUUUGGAACGGGUCAUCAUCUUAUUCUCACAAUAUUAUUAUUACAUUUGCAUAUAUGUCACCAACUUCUCCCAAGUCCUCUCAACACACAGUCACACACAUACACGCUUCAAUUUUCUCUUACUCGGUUUACGCGGUGUUCACACCGUUUAUAUUUAAACUACGUCGGCACUAAUCAACAUUCUCUCAUUGAUCAUCGUUGUUCCCUUUCUCAUCAACAUGGCUACAACAACUACAACAACAACAACAACUUCAGAGCCACGUAUGAUACCUGAACGAGGUCGUGUUCUUAAAAGGAUUCUUAAAAUGGUGAUGCCGUUUGUUUUGUGUUCUGGUUCUGCUUCCCAUACUACCUCUACCGAUUCACAUAAUCUACAAAAGAAGAAGAAUUCAUUCCUCUAAUGCAUGUUUCAAGCAGAAUAAAUAACACGUCAAAAUGAACAAUAUAGUAUUACCACCGAGUUUCUCUAGUUUAGUUAAUAGUUGUGUGCAUUUUGUGUUUUUCUUUCUGUCUGUUUUAUUGUAAACUAGUUGCCAGUAACGAUUUUGAGUGGAUAAUUCAUAUUUUGCUUUUGGUUUUUAAGCAGAGAUGAUUGAAAUUUGGUAGAUAUUGAUGUUAAUUUAUUAUUGAAUGUUGAGAAUAGCCAAACAAGGGUCCCAUGUGCAGUGAGUGAUGAUGUCACCAAUCCUAGUUUGAGGUGCUGAUGAUAAUUAGUGGUGUCGUGUCACCCAGGGACCACGUUCAAGUGAAGGAGCUAAACUAACCCCAACUCCAAUUACUUUAGACAUUAAACACUGCAACAAAUAUUUAAUAUAUUCAUUGGAUUGAUUCAAUAAUCGCGUUAAAUCACUUUUUAAUUGAUAAAAUAAUAUAUAAAAAAAGUAGGAAGUUAAAAGCUCACCAACAAAAUGAGAUCAGAGUUAUACUGACACAAGAAGUGUGGAACUACAAAAGAAAUAUGUACAACAAAAUCAAAAGUCCAAAAACAAUAAAUCAUGAGCAAAUGCUAG
rnacentral:lncRNA from 1 species